CUGCAUUAUUUGCGGAGAUCGUCUAUAUGUAAAUUCGAGGUCCCCAGACAAACCCUGCUGACUUUAGAAAAUUCCGAUCUCUGGUUACCCAAGGCAGACUCUUUAACCAGCCAAACAAAACACAGUGCCAGAAUAACCCACUCACUCCAGAUGACAGGAUUUCUUAUUCUUUUUAGGGUCAGUUUCAGAUCCAGUGAUCUUGAUUCUGAAGAAUUGUCGGUGUAUGAAAUCAACUCUCUCAUCAGCUGAGAACGGAGGCUACAGGGAGGCGCCUUUAUCUCGCAGAAAAGAUGCAGCACAAACAACCUGCCAGCCCUCGCGUGAAUUCGUUAACGGAAACACUGGUUGUGACCUGCAGUCAACUUUGGAAACUAAUUUAAAACUCACCUUGAUCAGCGUUCCUUAAUGAGGAGUCGGGGGAGGAAGGAUCCUCAUUAUUUCCGCUUCACUACCUCCUCUCUACAACCCCAUUCCAAAGCGACUGACCUUCAACAGAAUGUAUUUCUAAAAAGAUAAAAACAACGAAACUCCCAAAACUUCCAUAUUUGGAAUAUACGGAGAAAACUAGGAAUUUAAUAGCUGAGCUAAUGUCCUGCCAACAAAACUUGGAAGGAAUCAACAAACUUCAAGUUCAGGCGCAUAUGUGGUACCUUGUGGCCUAGCGAGAAGAUUGCCGAUGACAUGGGAGGCCUUCAUCUUCUGCAUCUGUCCGACCUUUUCAGCUCCUCUUCUGGUCACUCUGUCAAGGGAGCCUGGAACUACUGAGACGUGAAAGGACCAGCCCUAUCUCAGAUGGUGAGGGUUUCUUUACCCUGACCUCUGCCAUGUUUGCUUGGAGCCCCCGUGCUCAUCCUUCAUGGCCUUUUUAAAAAUAGCACAGCUUCUGUCAAGCCUUCUUGAAAAAUUAAAUUUUUUAUUGUAAAAACUUUCAAACAUAUAAAGAAUGUGAAAGAAUA